rnacentral:rRNA from 1 species
UACGAAGGGGGCUAGCGUUGCUCGGAAUUACUGGGUGUAAAGGGAGCGUAGGCGGGUUAUCAAGUUGGGGGUGAAAGCCCGGGGCUCAACCUCGGAAUUGCCUUCAAAACUGAUAACCUGGAGUAUGGAAGAGGUAAGUGGAACUCCGAGUGUAGAGGUGAAAUUCGUAGAUAUUCGGAAGAACACCAGUGGCGAAGGCGACUUACUGGUCCAUUACUGACGCUGAGGCUCGAAAGCGUGGGGAGCAAACAGG